GCCAGUGUGCCGUAGUGGUUUGAGUGCUGGACUUGGACUCUGGAGACCAGGGUUCAAUUCCCCACUCAGCCA